rnacentral:rRNA from 1 species
AACGAACGCUGGCGGCGUGGAUUAGGCAUGCAAGUCGAACGAUAUCCAAGGCAUCCAAGUAGCAAUAUGAGGAUGUCUUGGUGACAGUGGCGAAAGGGUGAGUAACGCGCGGGUAAUCUGCCCUUAAGUUGGGGAUAGCUCUGCGAAAGCGGAAUUAAUACCGAAUGUGGUCGUCCUUCACAUGAAGGACUAUCCAAAGCCGGGGACCGUAAGGCCUGGCGCUUAAGGAUGAACCCACGUACUAUCAGCUUGUUGGUGAGGUAACGGCUCACCAAGGCUAUGACGGUUAGCUGGUCUGAGAGGAUGGUCAGCCACACUGGGACUGAGACACUGCCCAGACUCCUACGGGA